CGUGCAGCCAAACCCAAAGCUCACGCCGGCUCAGUGGCGUGGGUUUUUUUUGUGUGGCGUGCCGACAUGAACGUGAUCUUUGUCGCCUUUCUCGACGCUGCCGUGUCUGUGAAAGUGAAACCAGGGGUCUACAGGU